GGGGACGACAUGGCUUCGACUGGAGCUAUUCGCCUGUAAUUGCAUGUCGGACUGAGCAACUCCGUUAUACGGCUCACCUUGCUUAAAUGCAAACAAUACAAAUUACCGCCCAGCUUACGCAGUAGCAUAAGUUUUACCCCCUCGCAAGAGGACGGGCUGCUUCACCUAUGGACUCUAGAUAAGUAGGAUUCGAAGUAUAACCCCCUAUGUAGAUAUAUCUCGCGUUUGUCUCGAACGCAGGAUGAAACCCAGAGGCUCGUCUUGUGUAGCUUUGCAAGCUGUGUGAAGCAAGAUUAAACUAUAAAACGGCUUUACUAAACAUGUAGACGUUGCAGGUAGCUAGCUUUAGGACUCCGGUUCAAUCCCGGACGUCUCCACCA
rfam:Sulfurimonas sp. GWF2_37_8 gwf2_scaffold_17438, whole genome shotgun sequence.